AAACAACUGAAAACUCUUUACAAAGAAAAUAAAAAACUCACAGGAAAAUCACUAAUAGGGAAAGAUUGUGCAGAUCUUUACAAAAAUGGUG